CCCUUAGAUGUUCUGGGCCGCACGCGUGCUACACUGAGUGGAUCAGCGGGUCAGGUUGCGCGAAAGUGUUUCCUAAUCUUUAAAUCCGCUCGUGAUGGGGAUUGACGGUUGCAAUUUUCCGUCAUGAACGAGGAAUACCUUGUAAGCGCGGGUCAUCAUCCCGCGCUGAAUACGUCCCUGCCCUUUGUACACACCGCCCGUCGCUCCUACCGAUUGAGUGGUCUGGUGAGGCUUUGGGAUCUGAGCGGAAAGAGCGUUUCGCUGUUUCUGCUCGGAAAACUCAGUCGAACCUUAUCAUUUAGAGGAAGGAGAAGUCGUAACA
rnacentral:rRNA from 1 species